GUUUGCUUUGCUCUGGAGUGCACCUGACCCGCCAGCUCAGGUGUCUGGACCAGCUUAAGAAUCAGAGGCUUGCAGGUGUAUAUUCUUCAGGAUGUGCUCUGAAGAUUUCAGCAAAAGGGAAAGAAGGAGGUUGGCUCAACCACCAGAGAAACCCUGCAGCCCUCAUCCAGGCAAUCCUGAGUCCUCCCUUCCCUCUGAGACCCUUGUGGAGUCUCCCAGGCAGGAAAACUCCCCUCAGAAGUGGCGCACUGAGAGCUCUCCCCAGACAGCCACAGAAUCAUCCUCGUGCCUGCUUCUGCCUUCUGAUUCAAUUACUCCUUUCAUUUGUUUGUGUGGGUGCCUUUUUUCAGCAGAGUGGAUCAGCUCCUGCAGCUGAGAUUCCCAUUCCACAUCACUGCAUUUACAGUCAGCAGCGAGGAAAGAGAUGCUUCAAAUUCCCGGAAGCCGACUCUGGAUCAUGUCCCUCUUAGUUUGGUGUCAGACCUCUGGGACAUGAUAUAAAUAGCCAGUGCAUCUUCCCACAGCAUUUUUUAAGUUCCUAGCAGCUGGCAGCAAGUUGGAGUUGGUCAUCAUGACUGGAAAAAUGCUCCUCUUCUAUCCAGAAAAGGGCAGCUUGUUGUCUGAGGUGGGCUUAACCUCUCCCCCGUCCUUGGCACCUCCAGCAGCUGCAGAAGCAGUUUUGUGUUUGGUUUUGUGAAUCAUACCUUCAGAUACCUUGUUUUCUCUGCCUGCUGCACAGAGAGCUUUGAGUGCCUGAACACAUCUGGAACCCAGCACAGCGUGAGCAGAAGGGCUGUCCCAUGCUGUGGGUAUCCCAGGUGGAUUGGGCUGUAGAGUCUCUUAGCCCACCAAACCCUGGGCUGCAGCAGCUGACUGCCUGGUAUGCCCCUUUCCCUUCAAGGACAUACCUCCUUGGGGUGUAGACAUAUAUAUAUAUAUUUCCCUGGUAUGUCCCUUCCCUGCAAAGAGGCCCAGCAGCACAAGAGCAGGGCCCUGUACCCUGAAGUGCUCUUGCUUCCUGCAGUGCCUUGUGCUAUCGUGGGGCUGAGGGGCAGCUGGGACAUUAACCUCCCACUCCAACAUCCUCCUCGUAAACAUCCCGUCCUGCUCAAGUCCUGUGCUGUCACAUCCUCUCUGCUCUGCCCAGACGCUAUUCUGGGCUUAGUUCUAUAUGCAGAGCACACAGCUGGGCAUGCCAAAAUCCAGGCAGGCAGCAAGGCAGAACAGCAACUUAGUUUAGCUGCUGACAUAUCACAAGUACUGCAGAGGAGGGGAGUUGUUUAUGGGUCUUCUUAAAACUAAAAUCACCUGCUUGAGCCCUCCUUGGAAAGCCAGUUUGCUUCCCUAGGCGUGUUCAGCAGCUGUACCUUACUCCAAGCAGAUGCAAGCCUGUGCACAUGGCUUGAAAAACCUUGGUAAUAAUGGAAGGGAGCAGAACAGAGAGCUGGGAAGCUGCAGCACAGUAAGUUUACACAAGCAGCAAGUAAAACACCCAUCCCCGGUGAGUCAGUCCCGGCCGUUUCCUUCAUUUCCUCCAAGGCUCGCUGGGAACAUCCAGCAGUAGCGGCCCUUCAGUCGUCUCCUUUCCUGCCCCUUGUUUACAGCUUUCCUUCAGCAGGGAGCACAGUCCCAGCCUCCAGCACUGCAUUUUCACUGCACAGGCUGAGAGAAGCGAAGACCCUCCCCUGGCCUCAGCUCAGCUUUGGUACUGCCAGUGCUCUUGUUGCUUUUGUGGGUGCCAGCACCUUCUUGAGCUACAGCAGGUGCUGAGCCAUACCUUUGAAUUCAGUCUGGUAGGGCAGAAAGGAUGCAGUGGGGUGUUACGUUGUGCAAACCAUCCCUCAAAGAUACGGGUUGGAGCUUCCCUGCUUCAGAUUGAGGUGCAUCUCAUGCUCUGAUUUCCCCACAUGACAGCAGCUAGGAAGGAGGACUAUUUUUAGCUUUUGUUUCUUGGUUUGUUUACAGGAAGUUCUUCAUUUGUGGGAGUGAGCUUGGGUCUGAGUCUGAGAAUCUACUUCAGUGCCAGUUGUGGAUGCAGUUACAAGGGUGAACUGCUAUUGUCUGGGAGAGGCCUCAUUUAUCCCAGGUGUUCAAGUAACUAUGGGCUUCACACAGACAAUUACUGAUUUCUGGGAUCUUUCCUGAAAUUUGUUCAAGGAGAUGUUCCAGGUGGUUGUGACAGAAAAGUUUAGGACAAUACAGAACUGGGAAAUUCCUUUGGGUGGUAGGGCUAAAAAUGCUCUUCUGUGUGAAACUAGUUAUAAAUCCACAUUGCUGACAUAACCUGAGUUAAUAACUGUAGCUCUGAGACAAAACCCAUAUUGUCAAAGAACAUGAACAUCCCAAGACAAGAACAGAACAAAAUGGGCUUCCUCUAUUUCCUUCUCAAGUGCCUUUGCCUGCAGCCAACAAGUGACCUAGAGACAAUGCUGUGUUUGCUCUUAGGGAGUAAUACUAGGAGCAAAAUAAUCCUCCCAAAUUAUGUAUCUUUAUAAUCCUUAUUCAACUUCAUCCAGGUUUUUGGGUUUUUUUUUCCAUAUAGAAAGCAGUAAGAUAUGUUUGUACAAAUUGAUACCUGCAUAUGAGCUAUGGAGGGAUAGUUUUUUGUCAUGGUGAAUUAUGUACCAGUUACAGUGAUGGUCUGCAUUGGAUGGAUUAAGUAUGAAUGGCCCAUUUAGUGUGUAGUACAACUUUUUUUCCAAAGUAAUUGCAGUGCCUGGCCUGAUGUGCAGGUCAGGCCAUUGUCCUACACAGCUAAUUUCCCCUUUUUUGACAGGCUCUGCCAGGAAAAUUUAAACAAAUGGACUGUCUUGAGACAAAUGCUGUUGUUAGGGGCAUGAGAGUAAGGGAUGGUCUGGAGAGUCCCUGCCUGUCAGCCACAAAAGGUGGUAAAAGAAUGUUUUUAUUUGCACACAUCCUGUAGCCUGACAUUGCCCAACAGUUCACUUGAUUAUAAGCUUCUGCCUGUUCUAAAAGGGAUGAGGUGGUUUUGAAUUUGUGGAUGUUGGCCUGAGGGAGGCUGAUGGGCUUUCCCAGCUCAGUUUACAGCUGCAGUCCAGACUGAUACCAAGGAAAAUGACUGCCCAUGCCACAGCUUCAGAAAGGUGUAGGCUGCACACAUGCAAAUAUUGGUUUAGUUGACCUUCCCUGAUUUUGAUGGAAUUGAGGGUAGGAAUGGCCAGUUUCAAACAGCAAAAGCAAGCAAGAUGGCCUGAGAUGUUACUUCAGUUUUGCUGAGGGUAUAAAAAACAUCGACUGGGCAGAAGGCAAGACAAACUACUGCUCAAAGCAUAGCUACAAACCAAAGAAAGAAAAAAGAAAUCCCCACAAUGUAUCUCCUGCUCAAGAUUUCACAUGAUCAACUGCAGCAAAACAUGACCCAAAAUUUUACAUCUAUUUGCUUAUAUACUGUUUUUCAGAAGACAGAAUGAAAUGGCUUAAAAGUUAGUCCAACUCCAUUAAAAUCCUUCUAUUUGGGAUUAAUAAAAUAUGGAUUUCUUUAACAAGCAAGAAGCUCCUUUGAACAAAUAUUGGGGAAAAAAGGAGCUGUACUAAAGGGGUUAUAUUCUCUGAAGCAGUUAGCCAACAUUUAAUGAUACAUAUUGUGGUUAAAGCAACCUAUCUCCUGCUCACCAGUAGCAUUUGGCAACUCAUGAUGGAUUUCUCAGUGAAACAGUAGUAAGCUCUUACAUUUUUAGGAGGAUUUCCCUCAGCCAAAUUUGCAAAAAUUGCAUUUGAUAUGUAAUGCAGUAUAACAUCACAUUCCCACUUGAUUGGUAUAUGGAGAUUUACAUGGAAGUGUCUGUGCAGGUAAAUAAUAUGAACUUGAAUAUUAAGGUGUUUUGUUUGGGUUUUUUUUUUCCAAAAUAUAUAGUGCAGGGAAAGGGUGCUUUAUGACCAAGAACAUUAAUGAGGGUAUUUUUGGUACUUUAUACUGAAUGUCAGCAGUGUCUUUUACUGAAUAAAAUUAUUGCAGUAAUUUCUAUUCUGGAAGCCACACAUAUCAGGAGAUCUUACCCGAGGAAGAUCCACCAAAGAUACCCAGGAAACACAAGGUAAUAUCUGUGAACAAGGAUCCAAAAAAUAAAAUCAGGUUGAAAAACCCCAGUACUUCAUACUAUUAAGAUGCCUCCAAAAGGGCAGAAAGACAUUACGUAGGAAAAAAGUGUACUGGGGGAAUGAGUAGUCAGACAAAGAGGAAGAUAGCUUUUAGUGGGCUUUGCCUUUUCUCCAUCAUCCAAAGUUUUAAUUUUUGGUAAUCCAGGAUCACAGCAUUGAUGUAUCCAGAAAUACUACACACAAAUUUUGGAAAAUCUUAAUGAGAACCGGUUAUGGAAACAUUUCCAAACAGCUGUUCUUUUAUAGCAGUUGAUAUAGGCAAUUCCAAGCUUAGUUACAGUUUCAAGGAAAUCUUUGGGCUUAUCCUUUUUCUGCCCCAUGCAAAGAAUGCCCCAAGUUGCUUGUUCCUGGCAGGUGCCUUCCCCAGACUGAAAUUCCCAGCUGCAGCUCCCAGGGAGCCUUUGGGAGGCAGCUUUUGGUUUCUGUGGUCCUUUCCAUUUCUGUGUUGUGGGAUUCUGAACUCUGCAAAAAGCUGGAUUUUUCCCCCACAUCCUUCUGUGAUUCUUCUGUUGCAGCUAAAUCAUUGUGCAAAUCUGAAGCAGAGCCCUCAUGCUGCAGUAAAUUAUUGCCAGCCCAUGUUACCUUUCACAUCCAUGUGCAGAUUCAGGUAGGCCACUUACCCUGUGGUCAUUUCUUCAGGCUUUCUGCUCCAGCUAUGAACUCUAGAAAUAAAUUACUGUAAGGGAAAGGUGGAAUAUGGACAAAGUCACACUACUGCAGUGUCUUUGCACAAGUCCUGAAGGUGGAGAUCUCUGAGCCUGGAUGUGUGAUAGUGUAGUGCCCCCUCAUGGGAAGCUGUUCCUGAUGCUGAUUCCUGGCUGCAUCCAGUUUGUCUUCUGGAAGGGAUGUGUGGAAUAGAGACAGUGAAGUUGUAAGACCAGAGAAGACAGAAGCCCAGAGGGGAAAAAGAUCACUCAGCAUUUGUCUUAAUGCCCUCCUCCAAAAAGUCAGCAGCUUGUAAAUUGUGAAUUUGCAAUGUGUCUGUGAUGACUUCAGUUUUGGGAGAUGGAACAAAGACUUCAUGGAACAAUAUCCUCACCAUUCCCUGACCACAGCAGCAGCUGGUCAGGCAGCAAGGAGCAUGUCAUGUGCAUCAGAACGCUCCUGCUGGGAGGUGACUGAGCACUGAUGGCAAAGGUGGUGAACACAGAGACUCAGAGCCUGAGGAGCUUCAGGAUCUCCUCAGUAAAGCAUCUUGUGGUUCCUGUUUCACCCUAUGUUCACAUAAAUGCUUGAUCAUAUGUCCAAAGAAUUGGGAAGAUGCCUGAAAUCCCUCUAAUGUGUACUAUAUGUAGACUCUGUUUUUCCUGCUUUGCUUGGUAUUUCUGCCUUGAAGGCAUCAGGAGAAAUCCAAAGGUCAUCUGUUAAAGAAAUCAGGCAAGAAAAGAAAGCAGUGGACCAGCAAAGAGGCACCAACUUAAGCACAACAGCCAGGUGCAGAGCUGUGGGAAGAAACUUCCCAGUCCCUGUACUGGAAAAAUCUGCCAAGGCUGGGAAAAGGGAAAUGCAAGGACAUGCACAGGCCUGUCAAAAGCUCUGCCAUCUGUAAAAGGGGCACAUUCUGCAUGCUUGGAGGUGCUCUGGGGUAAGCAAGGCCAGGCUGCCCUUUUGUGAGGGGAACACUGACAGAACAGAGUAAGUCUCCUCUGUGGCUCUGUGCUUGAAGAUGGGAAAGCACAAACAGCUCAGCCACAGCCAGGAAGAGUUCAGCAGCCCUGUGGGGAAGGUGAACUGGAGGGAGAGACAGAGCAGAAAAUGGCCCAAGGCAACACACAAGCAGCAGGGCAGCUGCAAGAGUUCUGGAAAGCAAAAAGAAGCAAGUCCAGCAGCAGACUGGAAAACUGGAUCCCAUAUAAUCCCAGUGGCACUGAGAAAAUGACCUCCUCAGAACCAGGUUCUUCUACCAGCAGGAUGGUGUGUCACUGCAGAGAAGAAAAGACAAGCCACUUUCCCUCAUAAGGAAUGAUCAUUAUUUCUUACACUUGUACCAUUCUGUAAUUAUUAUUACUAUUAUUCAAGGAGAAGAAAAUGGAGCCAGGACACCUCCAGAUUUGUGAUCAGCACAGAAAGGGAAAACCCAGACAAAAGCUGCCAAGACCAACAGCUCUGGCUGGCCUUUGACUCCCAGGAGCCACCUCUAAGUAAUUUUAGGAAGGACAAAAACUCACCAAAGAUUCAUUUCUAACAGGAGUGGAAUGUUUUAAUAAUGAACACCAUAAACCAAAUAAAGUUCAAACAUUUAUUUCAUGAGGAGAUUCUGCUUUAUGCAUAAUGACAUUAAGCAUCAAAAAAAGUUACGAACAGUACCCCUGAGUUUCCAUGGAACAGGAGCAAGUCUUCCUGAAGCUCUGAAGCCUGGAGGCACAGGAUCCUGAAAUGCUCAACUGAUGGAAAUUACACCUCAGAGAUACAAGCACAAGAUCACACUAAAAGGACAUCCCUCAAGGCCUCCUAAUUUGGCAUAAAUUAAUAUCCUGAUGAGUUAAAACUAAUCCUGAAUCCCACACAGUAGAAAAAGAGUGCGUGAUUUUCACAGUCUGUAGUCACACAGCAGAAGUGACAUACUUGGCCCCACAGUUUUAGUUUUGGGACAGAAUAUGACAUUCUAAUCUAAAAUCUAAAAAAUCCUCUUCUAAUCUAAAAUCUUAAAAUCUAAACCUUAUUUUAUUAACUACUAGGAGUGCAUCCUUUUAACAAGGUAACAUAAAAAAACAACUACAAACCACAAAACCAGCCAUGCACACAAGAACAGCAUCAGUUUCAGAGAAAGACUUUUUGGCAAAGGUACAAGCCCCAAAGUUUCGUUAUCCCAGUUCAAAUGUAAAGGAGCUUUUUCUGCACUUUUGAAGCUUAAAGGUCCUGAGACUGCCCCAAGUCUGUCACUGAUGGAACAAGGUAAACCAGACCAACACGUUUUAAUACUCUGCACUUUUCAACCCUGAUAGAGGUUGGAAUGUCAGAAUUUUAAGACAUGUUAAUGUCUGAAAUAUCAGACUCUUACAGGGAAAAAAAAAACAGAAAGAAAAGAAAAAAAAACAUUUCCUCUGCUGUUUUCACCAGAUGAUGGACCUGAGCCUCUCAGUGUUAAUUACCCCACUCCCACCCCUAAUUAAUACAUAACUGCCAAAACCAUGUAACAAUCCAAAUAGGGUAUGACAAAGUAAACCCAGGCUCAACUGAGUUCACCUUUGAACAAAGGAACAAGUGCCCUAUAACCCAAUUUGGCUUUUCCUCCUGAACUCUUGGUAAGCAAGGUAGACCUGAAAGGUGGUAUUUUGUUGAGGGUUUU